rnacentral:rRNA from 1 species
CAGCAGCCGCGGUAAUACGUAGGGUGCGAGCGUUAAUCGGAAUUACUGGGCGUAAAGCGUGCGCAGGCGGUUUAUUAAGACAGAUGUGAAAUCCCCGGGCUCAACCUGGGAACUGCAUUUGUGACUGGCAAGCUAGAGUGUAGCAGAGGGGGGUGGAAUUCCGCGUGUAGCAGUGAAAUGCGUAGAUAUGCGGAGGAACACCGAUGGCGAAGGCAGCCCCCUGGGCCAACACUUACGCUCAUGCACGAAAGCGUGGGGAGCAAACAGGAUUAGAUACCCGGGUAGUCCCUGUCUCUUAUAC